UACAGAGGUCUCAAGCGUUGUUCGGAAUUACUGGGCGUAAAGCGCGCGCAGGCGGUCUUCCAAGUCAGUGGUGAAAGCCCGGAGCUCAACUCCGGAACUGCCAUUGAAACUGUUGGACUUGAGUACGAGAGAGGUGAGUGGAAUUCCCAGUGUAGAGGUGAAAUUCGUAGAUAUUGGGAAGAACACCGGUGGCGAAGGCGGCUCACUGGCUCGUAACUGACGCUCAGGCGCGACAGCGUGGGGAUCAAACAGG
rnacentral:rRNA from 1 species